UGGUUUUAUAUUAUAUAUACACGUUUACUUUGAAAAUGUCGAUAGUCUGUGCGUUUACCUGAAAGCAGUAUCUGUAAAAUAACUGACGUUGGCUGCUCACGGCCUCUCCCUCGUGGUCGUAAUUUUAUUUAGUUAAGCAUUUUUAUCGAAUAUGACUUGAUAAUUUUUUAGUAAGCUUUUGAAAAUGCUUGCUGCUUAUAAAUAUUGUUGUGUAGAGAACCAAAGUCCAAGAAACGGUGCGAAAGGGCAAACGCAGAUUUCUUGUUGGAUGGCAGGCCGUUGACGCCAACUGUUGACAACCAUUAUGUUGGAUGAGAGAAAUUGAGGCUGGUAGACGAUGCCAACAGUUGACGACCAAUUGGUUGGAUGGAAGAAAUUGAGGCCAGUAGAUGAUGCCAACAGUUGACGAUCAGUUGGUUGGAUCAAAGAAACUGAGGCUGGUAGUCGAUGUCAACAGUUGACAAUAAAAUGGUUAGAUGAGUGAAAUCAGUUGCCUUGUAGCAGAUGCCAUCUUUCAGCAAAAAAAAGAGUUUGGAUGAGAAAAACAGAGGCUGCCAGGUAGCUGAUGCCAACAAUAGGCGACCAAUGGGUUGAAUGGAACAAAAGCCUGCUGGCUG
rnacentral:lncRNA from 1 species